rnacentral:rRNA from 1 species
UCGUCAUCGUAGGGUUGGUCGGGUCCUAAGCAAAGUCCGAAAGGGGUAUGCGAUGGAAAAUUGGUUAAUAUUCCAAUACCAACAUUAGUGUGCGAUGGAAGGACGCUUAGGGCUAAGCAAGCUAGCGGAUGGAAGUGCUAGUCUAAGGUCGUAGGAGGUUAUAUAGGCAAAUCCGUAUAACAAUACUCCGAGAACUGAAAGGCUCUUCAAAGUCUUCGGACAGCGAGGAGAAUUGCUGAUGCCGUCGAGCCAAGAAAGGUUUCUAAGUUUAGCUAAUGUUGCCCGUACCGUAAACCGACACAGGUGGGUGGGAUGAGUAUUCUAAGGCGCGUGGAAGAACUCUCUUUAAGGAACUCUGCAAAAUAGCACCGUAUCUUCGGUAUAAGGUGUGGUUCGCUUCGUAUUAGGAUUUACUCCGAAAGCGAAGAAACUUACAACAAAGAGUCCCUCCCGACUGUUUAC